rnacentral:rRNA from 1 species
CCUACGGGAGGCAGCAGUGAGGAAUAUUGGGCAAUGGACGAGAGUCUGAACCAGCCAAGUAGCGUGAAGGAUGACUGCCCUCUGGGUUGUAAACUUCUUUUAUAUGGGAAUAAAAUGUUACACGUGUGGGAUUUUGUAUGUACCAUAUGAAUAAGGAUCGGCUAACUCCGUGCCAGCAGCCGCGGUAAUGCGGAGGAUACGAGCGUUAUCCGGAUUUAUUGGGUUUAAAGGGAGCGUAGGUGGAUUGUUAAGUCAGUUGUGAAAGUUUGCGGCUCAACCGGAAAAGUGCAGUUGAAACUGGCAGUCUUGAGUACAGUAGAGGUGGGCGGAAUUCGUGGUGUAGCGGUGAAAUGCGUAGAUAUCACGAAGAACUCCGAUUGCGAAGGCAGUUCACUGGACUGCAACUGACACUGAGGCUCGAAAGUGUGGGUAUCAAACAGGAUUAGAUACCCGAGUAGUC